UGAGUCUGCCGGCCUGUCGCUGGCCGCUGUCAAAAAGCGGAAAGAGGAAAGUCCGGGCAACAGAGAGCAAUCCGCUUCCUAACGGGAAGAAGUCUGCGAGGACUUGUCGAUGCAGAAGAAAAGAACCGCCGAAAGGUAAGGGUGAGAAGGUGGGGUAAGAGCCCACCGGGCGCAUGGCGACAUGCGUGCCGUGCAUCCCGGAUGUUGAAAGUUCAUGUAAACCGGUGCCGGAGGGCUGCUCGUCCGAGCCGGAGGGUAGAACGAUAGAGGCUGUCGGAGACGGCAGUCGUAGAUAAAUGACAGGCACCGCCACGCGCGGUACAGAACCCGGCUUACAGGCAGGCUCACACC
rnacentral:RNase_P_RNA from 1 species